AUACGUAGGGGGCAAGCGUUAUCCGGAUUUACUGGGUGUAAAGGGAGCGUAGACGGCUGUGCAAGUCUGAAGUGAAAGGCAUGGGCUCAACCUGUGGACUGCUUUGGAAACUGUGCAGCUAGAGUGUCGGAGAGGUAAGUGGAAUUCCUAGUGUAGCGGUGAAAUGCGUAGAUAUUAGGAGGAACACCAGUGGCGAAGGCGGCUUACUGGACGAUGACUGACGUUGAGGCUCGAAAGCGUGGGGAGC
rnacentral:rRNA from 1 species